rnacentral:lncRNA from 1 species
AAGAAAUGGUGAAAAGAGAUAUAUGCUAGAUCCUUGUAGAUUACUUCUAGAAAUAACUGGUAGCCAUAGAACAGGGAGCAGUCAUCUGGAUACUCAAGCAGGCUGAAGAAUAAGACAGACAUUAUUUUGGGUUUUUCAAGAUACUGGAAGACAAAAUACUGAAAGAUUAGAAAAAAUAUCUCCAAGAGUCCAGAUGCAACUAUUAAGGUCAGUUCUAUCUGCUUAGAGUAGGUUUGCAAUGAACACUCCAGAGUUUUGACUUGAAUUAUCUCUUCAGCUUCUAAGGGACUCAUGAGGUACCUGGGGAAAGCGUUCAUAGUUAAAACACUACAAAAUCUACCAUAAUCUGCAUAGUUUAGAACUAGUUUAGAAUGAAACUGAAU